GGCCCCCGGCGGGCCGGUGCCGGUGCCUUCCGGUGGCACCGGCGGCCGUACCCGGGCGAUCGCCCUCGCCACGGUGGCCGCC
rnacentral:tRNA from 1 species